CGUGGUAAUUCUAGAGCUAAUACAUGCUGAAAAUCCCGACUUCGGAAGGGAUGUGUUUAUUAGAUAAAAAACCAAUGCCCUUUCGGGGCUUUUUGGUGAUUCAUGAUAACUUUACGGAUCGCAUAGCCUUGCGCUGGCGACGGUUCAUUCAAAUUUCUGCCCUAUCAACUUUCGAUGGUAAGGUAUUGGCUUACCAUGGUUUCAACGGGUAACGGGGAAUUAGGGUUCGAUUCCGGAGAGGGAGCCUGAGAAACGGCUACCACAUCCAAGGAAGGCAGCAGGCGCGCAAAUUACCCAAUCCCGACACGGGGAGGUAGUGACAAUAAAUACUGAUACAGGGCUCUUUUGGGUCUUGUAAUUGGAAUGAGUACAAUUUAAACCUCUUAACGAGGAACAAUUGGAGGGCAAGUCUGGUGCCAGCAGCCGCGGUAAUUCCAGCUCCAAUAGCGUAUAUUAAAGUUGUUGCAGUUAAAAAGCUCGUAGUUGAAACUUGGGUCUGGCUGGCGGGUCCGCCUCACCGCGUGCACUCGUCCGGCCGGGCCUUCCUUCUGAAGAACCUCAUGCCCUUUACUGGGCGUGUUGGGGAAUCAGGACUUUUACUUUGAAAAAAUUAGAGUGUUCAAAGCAGGCCUUUGCUCGAAUACGUUAGCAUGGAAUAAUAAAAUAGGGCGUGCGUUUCUAUUUUGUUGGUUUCUAGAGACGCCGCAAUGAUUAACAGGAACAGUCGGGGGCAUCAGUAUUCAGUUGUCAGAGGUGAAAUUCUUGGAUUUACUGAAGACUAACUACUGCGAAAGCAUUUGCCAAGGAUGUUUUCAUUAAUCAGUGAACGAAAGUUAGGGGAUCGAAGACGAUCAGAUACCGUCGUAGUCUUAACCGUAAACUAUGCCGACUAGGGAUCGGGCGAUGUUCUUUUUCUGACUCGCUCGGCACCUUACGAGAAAUCAAA
rnacentral:rRNA from 1 species